rnacentral:rRNA from 1 species
AUACGAAGGGUGCAAGCGUUAAUCGGAAUUACUGGGCGUAAAGCGUGCGCAGGCGGUUUUGGAAGACAGAGGUGAAAUCCCCGGGCUCAACCUGGGAACUGACUUUGUGACUGCAAGGCUAGAGUACGGCAGAGGGGGAUGGAAUUCCGCGUGUAGCAGUGAAAUGCGUAGAUAUGCGGAGGAACACCGAUGGCGAAGGCAAUCCCCUGGGCCUGUACUGACGCUCAUGCACGAAAGCGUGGGGAGCAAACAGGAUUAGAUGCCCUGGUAGUCCACGCCCUAAACGAUGUCAACUGGUUGUUGGGUCUUCAUUGACUCAGUAACGAAGCUAACGCGUGAAGUUGACCGCCUGGGGAGUACGGCCGCAAGGUUGAAACUCAAAUGAAUUGACGGGG